rnacentral:rRNA from 1 species
GACGAAUCGUGCAAACGUUGUUCGGAAUCACUGGGCUUAAAGGGCGCGUAGGCGGGCUGCCAAGUCUGUGGUGAAAGCCCCCGGCUUAACCGGGGAAGUGCCGUGGAUACUGGCGGUCUCGAGGAGGGUAGGGGCAUCUGGAACGUUGGGUGGAGCGGUGAAAUGCGUUGAUAUCCAACGGAACUCCGGUGGCGAAGGCGAGGUGCUGGACCCUUUCUGACGCUGAGGCGCGAAAGCCAGGGGAGCAAACGGG